UACAGAGGUCCCAAGCGUUGUUCGGAUUCACUGGGCGUAAAGGGUGCGUAGGCGGUCGGGUAAGUCUGACGUGAAAUCUCCAAGCUCAACUUGGAAAUGGCGUCGGAUACUAUUCGGCUCGAGGAGUGGAGGGGAGACUGGAAUUCUCGGUGUAGCAGUGAAAUGCGCAGAUAUCAGGAGGAACACCGGUGGCGAAGGCGGUUCUCUGGGCAUUACCUGACGCUGAGGAGCGAAAGUGUGGGGAGCGAACAGG
rnacentral:rRNA from 1 species